GCGUCGCUGCGGCGUUCGAACGUGGCCGGGUGGUACCCUUGAGCCUUAAUGCAACACCCAGGGACCGAGUUCUUCCGUUUCGCUGUGCAGGUCCGCCCCCGAGCGGAAAGCCUAAAGAUCCGGAGACUUCUCCCACCUGAACCGCUGGUUCAAGGUCGAAGGCCACGACGGCGCCUGCGGGGCGCG
rnacentral:other from 1 species